GUUGGUUUUACCCGAAGCCGGUGCGCBAACCGCAAGGASGCAGCCGACCACGGUARGGUCAGCGACUGGGGUGAAGUCGUAACAAGGUAGCCGUAGGUGAACCUGCAGAAGGAUCA
rnacentral:rRNA from 1 species